UGUCGGAGCUAGAAGCAUUUCGCAACACCCGCAAUAACAUCUGCUAAACACGUGUAUGUGACCAAUACAUUUUAUUUUAUUUUAUUUGAGCUACCUUGGAAGCCAACUCUCUAACGUUUAACCAUAAAGCCAAGGGGUUUCAUUUUACUAAGAGCAUUGUACCUAAGUCGAGGAGGGGUUUGGCAGAGGAGGAAAACUUGGAAGACCAGCAUGACUGGGUGGCAGAAGAGUGGGUAGAGGUAGGGUGAGAACAGACAGGGAAGACCCGCACAGGGUAAUCUUGAGGUCAGUGAUUGAGGAGGAGGAGCCAAGAGGGGUCAGGCUCUGAACCAAAUAAUAGCCAAUAUUGUAAACCGCUAACCUCAUACUUUGAGAUACAAUCUGAUUGAAAUAAAUAUUUGAUAACUUUUACUGUCAUUUUUUGUGCAGGUAAAAUUAAUGAGAGGCACCUGAAACCGUUUCUCUCUCUCCAUCCCUCUUUCCAUCCAGGUCCACUGACACUAAUAUGUGCUUGUGAAGUUAUUCUCUGCUCAGCUGACAGAUACAGGAGUCCAUUCCAUUCCAAAUAGGUUACCUUGGCUCUCCUCUAUGCACAGCACUCUGGGGAUUCCUGCAGUUGUUCUCAGAAGACAGGUCAGUGUGUGUAGAGAGAACACGUUUGACCAGGUAGUCAGGCUUCUACUUCAUCGGCCUGGACCAGUACACCAAAGAGGCGGAGGACGCCAAGUUUGGACCAAUUAUGCUGAUGCCCCACUGUAAGAACCUGGAGAUCUGUACUGGUUCUGAGGGAGGUGACGUGGCCACAAACAGUGCCUGAGACAUUCCGGCGCCCGGGUCACCUUCCGGCGACUGGGACACCUUCUAGUGCUACUGUUGACUAGAGCAGGGGGUUCCCAAACUUUUUCACUUGGGGCCCCCCUUCCAGCAUUGGGGAACAUCCCACUCCCGCAGGCGUGCACACACACCAUGUCUAUUUCUAUGGACACAAGCACUGUUCAUGACACAAACUGUUCACACCCUUCUUGUUGUUGGAGAGAAUUUUGCAGGUUUAAAGCUUAUUUCCUGCAAUUCUACACAUUUAGUCAUGGGGUGCAAAUAACAUUUUGCAAUUUUAAAGCUCAUUUUCUUGCAAUUCUAUAGAGUUUGCCAUGUCUAAUGUGUAUUUAUGUGAUAUUUGAAUGACUUUGAAAUUACAACGAUAUCUAUGGGCAAAAAAAAAACUUUUUUUUUUUUUGUUUUAGCUGACAUGGGCUAGUUCAUCUGGACA